rnacentral:snRNA from 1 species
CUCGCUUCUCGGCCUUUUGGCUAAGAUCAAGAGUAGUAUCUGUCCUUAUCAGUUUAAUAUCUGAUAUGUCCUCUAUCCAAGUACCAUCUCUAAACUUAGUACUUACCAUCCUCA